UGAGUUGGUGCUAAAGAAACCUUUCUUAUUAUUAUCAAUGUUAUUUCUUUCUAUUAUUAAUGAAUUGUAAAAUAAUUGUACUGCUUAAUAUUUUGGUGGAAAUUUGUCUAAAUAUUUUGUUAUAAAAAAGACACUGGACAUUAUAUGUCUUUACUGUCACCUUAAAAAAAAAAAAAAAAAAAAAAAGUGCCCUAACUGGAUGCACACACAGUUUCAUCAUCACACUGUACAAACUGUACAUACUGAUAGGGAUCUAGUUUAGUUCCAUAAAGCUUGCCUCUUUUUUUCCAGUUGAUUAAAGAUCCCAUGUUGAUUUCAUUUAGAGUCACCCUGAAUAGCGGACAUAAAGCCAAGCCAGCAGCUCAUCAAACGCGCCACACGAUACCCACAUUAAAGCAAGGACAGAGGUGGACUCACAACAGGGCUGGUCACAGUAAGAGAUCCUCUUCAAACAUCAAAGUGUGUUAAUCACUUGUGUUAAAUGUGCUCGAGCCUGUAUGAGGGGUGGAAGUGAGGCUAUACUGACAUUGCAAGAUCUAUUAUGGCAGGUAAAUGUGUCUUAACGGCAGGAAGAGAGAAGGCGAAAUAUAGGAAAUCAACAUAGAGAGCUUGUCUCACUGUUAUGGAUCCUCUAUGGAUCUAAUCUAAUUUAAUCUAAUGAAUCCUGUCUAAUUAUUAAAUUUGACAUCUGAACAAACAACAUCUUCACACAUUUAUCUGAAAGAGAAACAUGCACACAGAAGAUUAUUUUUGCACUUUUGAGGAGAAGCACCUGUAAAUUCUGUGCCUCAGCAAAAAAAAAAAAAAAGUAAUUAAAACAGUAUUAAAAAAUGCAACCUGUUCUAAAUAAGAAAUGGUUCCAGAUACACAACCCUAGAUAUAGCAGAUAACAAUAAGCAUUAUAUAGCAUUAUUAAUAUUUUUAUGAAGGACUAAAUAUCUCUGUAUUAUGCAUUACAUAUAGAAAGAGUUUCAUAGAAAGUGUUACUGAACAUACUGCUGACUUCAUUUGAUUAAUAGUAAUACCAUAAACAGACACAUGAUUUCACAGCGGGCAGAAAAUAUAAUAAAUAAAUAAAUAUCUGUGAGCGAAAGUGUCUUUGUGUGGAGCUACCCAGUUCCCAUCUCAAAUGAACAUGUGCUCUCUCUGCACAGAUGACACUCAAAAUGCAUUACAACCAUUAAUGAAAAAGUUAAUGGGCCAUUUUCUUACAUAUCAAUUUACAUUUUACAAUUUGGGUACACAAAUGAUGUCUGCUACGGUGGGUCCUUAAUAUUUUGCUCAAGGAAACAAUUCUAAUGUGUUUUUUGGACAUCAAAUGUAGUGAAUAAUGAUGCGUCCAUCGCAUGCAAAUAAGAUGACAGUUGGAAUGGGCUGAUCAACAGUGCUCGCAUAAAGAGGUUACAGACUGCCGUGUACCGCGCUCAGUUUCAAAAAUGUCAUC
ensembl:lncRNA